UACGGGGGGGGCAAGCGUUGUUCGGAAUUACUGGGCGUAAAGGGCUCGUAGGCGGCCAACUAAGUCGGAUGUGAAAUCCCCAGGCUUAACCUGGGAACUGCAUCCGAUACUGGAUGGCUUGAAUCCGGGAGAGGGAUGCAGAAUUCCAGGUGUAGCGGUGAAAUGCGUAGAGAUGUGGAGGAACACCGAUGGCGAAGGCAGCCUCCUGGGCCAGCACUGACGCUCAUGCACGAAAGCGUGGGGAGCAAACAGG
rnacentral:rRNA from 1 species